ACCCAGAAACCAUUGCGGAAGUUCUCUACCUGCUAUUGCUGAAUCUCCCUUGUUACUGGACCCAUGGAACCUACAGCCGGAGUUCCCACCGACUUUCUUGAUUCUACUGUGCUUUUGGAACAAACCCAAUAUGAAGAGGGCUUUAGAGACGGUUAUAGAGAUGGCGUGAUCUCUGGAAAAGAAGAUGGGAAAGAGGUUGGCUUGAAGCAUGGAUUCCAAGUUGGUGAGGAAUUGGGUUUUUAUCGUGGCUGUGUGGAUGUUUGGAAAUCAGCCAUCGAGAUAGACCCGAAUUCAUUUUCUUCUCGUGUUCAGAAGAGGAUCGACCAGUUGUCGGAGCUAGUGGAGAACUAUCCCCUUUUUCAGCCGGAGAAUGAGAAUGUUCAAGAGAUGAUGGAUGCUAUUAGGCUUAAGUUUCGGAUUAUUUCAGCAAAUCUGGGUGUGAAGUUGGAGUAUGAGGGGCAUAGCAACGUAUCAAAACAGGACCUGGAGGAGGUUUAAGUUUGAAGAAAGAUCAGCUUUUGCAUCAGAGAAGACGGUGCUUUCUUUUUCUUUUUAAUACAUUCCUUUUUCAGCAAACCAAAGUGUCCCUAAAUAUUAGCUCUGAAUGUUCAACUUCCAACUGCAACAAGUGAUCAAUGACAUAUCUCUUAUGAAGAAGCGAUGGUGCACGGGUGCUUCAACAAGUUACCGACUAUAACUAAGAAGGGCACGACAAUGAGCACUUGAAGAUGGGUUGUGGGUAUGGAUGAGCCUUUGAUCAACAGGGAGAUUUGCUGUGAGAGUCAAGGUGGUUGGCAACAUACCAAGGGUGAUGACAGCACUUAGACCGGCAUAGAAAGAUGGAGAUAUUGGUGGCUAGUGCAAUCCUAACAAGCUUCCAUUGGACAUAUCUGUUUUGGACACUUUGUUUACCGAUCCACACAAUUCUUUUGUAUUUGCAUAC